rnacentral:rRNA from 1 species
AUUGAACGCUGGCGGCAUGUACACANUGCAAGUCGAACGGCAGCGCGGGGCAACCUGGCGGCGAGUGGCGAACGGGUGAGUAAUAUAUCGGAACGUACCCUGGAGUGGGGGAUAACGUAGCGAAAGUUACGCUAAUACCGCAUACGAUCUAAGGAUGAAAGUGGGGGAUCGCAAGACCUCAUGCUCCUGGAGCGGCCGAUAUCUGAUUAGCUAGUUGGUGGGGUAAAGGCCUACCAAGGCAUCGAUCAGUAGCUGGUCUGAGAGGACGACCAGCCACACUGGAACUGAGACACGGUCCAGACUCCUACGGGAGGCAGCAGUGGGGAAUUUUGGACAAUGGGCGAAAGCCUGAUCCAGCAAUGCCGCGUGAGUGAAGAAGGCCUUCGGGUUGUAAAGCUCUUUUGUCAGGGAAGAAACGGUGAGGGCUAAUAUCCCUUGCUAAUGACGGUACCUGAAGAAUAAGCACCGGCUAACUACGUGCCAGCAGCCGCGGUAAUACGUAGGGUGCAAGCGUUAAUCGGAAUUACUGGGCGUAAAGCGUGCGCAGGCGGUUUUGUAAGUCUGUCGUGAAAUCCCCGGGCUCAACCUGGGAAUUGCGAUGGGGACUGCAAGGCUAGAAUCUGGCAGAGGGGGGUAGAAUUCCACGUGUAGCAGUGAAAUGCGUAGAGAUGUGGAGGAACACCGAUGGCGAAGGCAGCCCCCUGGGUCAAGAUUGACGCUCAUGCACGAAAGCGUGGGGAGCAAACAGGAUUAGAUACCCUGGUAGUCCACGCCCUAAACGAUGUCUACUAGUUGUCGGGUUUUAAUUAACUUGGUAACGCAGCUAACGCGUGAAGUAGACCGCCUGGGGAGUACGGUCGCAAGAUUAA